AAGCGGGGGUGAGCGCGCGCGGGACAGCCGGCGCGAGCUGAGUCGCCUCCACGUGCACAAGCAAAGAAAUCGAGUCUGGGAGCUGUGAGCGGAGCAGCUGUGACCAGCGUAGACCCGCCCAGGCACAAAGCAUACGUAUGCUUCAUUGAGCUGCUCUCCAAGUCUCUUGGCAUCAACGGAUCUGUCCAGCCAACAGAAAGAAGGCAGAGGCUAGAACAACUGGUGGAGGACCUGCACCUCCACCACUGACGCAUGCAGAGGAGAAGGCACUCAGCCUGAACACUGGAAAGUAGGGGCUGAAGGAAUUCCUGGAGAGAAUUCAUCAGAACCAGUCACUCCCCAGGAUACAAGUGCAUUUGUAAAAUGACUAUGAGGAUAAUGAAACCAUUUUCUGCCACGGACAGGUCUACAGAGAGUGUGAAGGACAGAAGAAAGAAGGGUACAUCACAUUCUGUUGCACAAAUGCACACAGUUUAAUGAUGUUCAGUAAAUGCCAGAGUUCAAUUCUGUAAGAAUAAUGAGAGCCUAAAGGUCUCCAAUGCUGUAAUUGCUGCAAAUGGAAUGAAUUUGACGAGAGCAAAGUUUGAAGGAAAAAAAUAUUAUUUCAAAUACAAAUCAUUAUUUCUAACCUUUUCAGUGCCUUGACUAUAUUUUCUAUUCAUUUUACAACUCAUUGUGUUAAUAAAAGUGUGACCUUUCAUCACUCUCUGGGUGUAUGGGGGACCGCAAACCUUUGAACGAUAAUGUAGGUUCUACAGUUGGUUAGCUGAAGUUUGUAACAGACACAUGUCUAGUGGCACAGGAAAGAUUAUGAUAUUCAAUCCACUUGGCAGUUCAUCCUGACCCUUGGUAUUAGAAAGGUAAAUACUAAAUAUGCAAUUAAUAAUACUAAAGGGCCUACUAAAAAUGGUUUAUGGAAUAAGGGAAAGUCAUUAAAAAUGGCUGUUUUUAUUAUUUAUAACCUAGUUUUUUGCUCACACUGGAUGAUAUUGCUAUCUAACCUACAGUAUAAAAAUACAAACCAGUCAAGCACACAGCAAAGUACUGAGCAAAUGAAAUCUAACCUUUUAAAUCCAAAGGAGAAGAUGGCAAUGACUGGAGUGCCCAAACCUAUUCAAC